GACAUAGGGUGCAAACGUUGUUCGGAUUUACUGGGCGUAAAGCGCGCGUAGGCGGCCUCAUAAGUCCGUUGUGAAAGUCAAAGGCUCAACCUUUGAAAGCCGAUGGAUACUGUGAGGCUAGAGUCCGGAAGAGGCGAGUGGAAUUCCUGGUGUAGCGGUGGAAUGCGCAGAUAUCAGGAGGAACACCAAUAGCGAAGGCAGCUCGCUGGGACGGUACUGACGCUAAGGCGCGAAGGCGUGGGGAGCGAACAGG
rnacentral:rRNA from 1 species